GACGAACGCUGGCGGCGUGCUUAACACAUGCAAGUCGAACGGAAAGGCCCUUCGGGGUACUCGAGUGGCGAACGGGUGAGUAACACGUGGGUGAUCUGCCCUGCACUUUGGGAUAAGCCUGGGAAACUGGGUCUAAUACCGAAUAGGACCACGCUCUGCAUUGUGUGUGGUGGAAAGCUUUUGCGGUGUGGGAUGGGCCCGCGGCCUAUCAGCUUGUUGGUGGGGUAUUGGCCUACCAAGGCGACGACGGGUAGCCGGCCUGAGAGGGUGAACGGCCACAAGGGGACUGAGAGACGGCGCAGAGUGCUACGGGAGGCAGCAGUGGGGAAUCUUGUCCAAUGGGCGCAAGCCUGAUGCAGCGACGCUGCGUGAGGGAUGACGGCUUUCGGGUUGUAAAAAUCUUCAACCAGGGACGAAGCGUAACUGACGGUACCUGGAGAAGAAGCACCGGCCAACUACGUG
rnacentral:rRNA from 1 species